ensembl:misc_RNA Metazoa_SRP Metazoan signal recognition particle RNA
GCUGGGCGCAGUGGCAUGCACCUGUGGUCUCAGCUACUAGAGAGGCUGAGGCGGGAGGAUUGCUUGAGCCUGGGAGUUUGAGGCUGCAGUGAGCUGUGAUUGUGCCACUGCACUCUAGCCUGGGCAACAGAGUGAGAUCCUGUCUCAA